rnacentral:rRNA from 2 species
ACAUGCAGUCGAGCGGAUCGAUGGGAGCUUGCUCCCUGAGAUCAGCGGCGGACGGGUGAGUAACACGUGGGUAACCUGCCUGUAAGACUGGGAUAACUCCGGGAAACCGGGGCUAAUACCGGAUAACACCUACCCCCGCAUGGGGGAAGGUUGAAAGGUGGCUUCGGCUAUCACUUACAGAUGGACCCGCGGCGCAUUAGCUAGUUGGUGAGGUAACGGCUCACCAAGGCGACGAUGCGUAGCCGACCUGAGAGGGUGAUCGGCCACACUGGGACUGAGACACGGCCCAGACUCCUACGGGAGGCAGCAGUAGGGAAUCUUCCGCAAUGGACGAAAGUCUGACGGAGCAACGCCGCGUGAGUGAAGAAGGUUUUCGGAUCGUAAAACUCUGUUGUUAGGGAAGAACAAGUGCCGUUCGAAUAGGGCGGCACCUUGACGGUACCUAACCAGAAAGCCACGGCUAACUACGUGCCAGCAGCCGCGGUAAUACGUAGGUGGCAAGCGUUGUCCGGAAUUAUUGGGCGUAAAGCGCGCGCAGGUGGUUUCUUAAGUCUGAUGUGAAAGCCCACGGCUCAACCGUGGAGGGUCAUUGGAAACUGGGGAACUUGAGUGCAGAAGAGGAAAGUGGAAUUCCAAGUGUAGCGGUGAAAUGCGUAGAUAUUUGGAGGAACACCAGUGGCGAAGGCGACUUUCUGGUCUGUAACUGACAC